GAAAUGCGAUAAGUAGUGUGAAUUGCAGAAUUCAGUGAAUCAUCGAAUCUUUGAACGCACAUUGCGCCCCUCGGUAUUCCGUGGGGCACGCCUGUUCGAGCGUCAUUUACACCCUCAAGCCCAGCUUGGUGUUGGGCGUCUGUCCCGCUCCCGUAGCGCGGACUCGCCUCAAAGUCAUUGGCGGCGGUCGUGCCGGCUCCUCGCGCAGCACAUUUGCGCUUCUCGGAGGCCCGGCGGAUCAGCACCCAGCAAGCUACCCUUUAUGACUUGACCUCGGAUCAGGUGAGGAUACCCGCUGAACUUAA
rnacentral:misc_RNA from 1 species